GGGCAGAGGAGCUUCCGGUUGCCGUUGCGCGAACCCCCAGCGCUCCGCUGAGUCGGGGCCAAAGGAUUUCCGGCUGCCUUACUAUAUCCUUGGUGAACACGGAUUAACGGCAGCUGUUCUCAUCGCCCCGGCUCGGUAGAGAUUUGUACCGAAGAGCGAGCAACGCAAAACCUGAUCACUGUCUAGCUGUCAAAACCAUCAUCUCCUUUGAAUUAAAGAACAUCCUAUCCUCUUUUUGAAACAGGGUCGCACUAUGUAGCCUUAGCUGGUCUAAAAACACCUAAGUAGACCAGGCUGGCCUUGAACUCACAGAGAUAACACCAGCUUCUGCUUCCCGGGUGCUGGGAUUAAAGCUGUGCGCCACCACGCCCAUCUACAUUUUAGAACAAACAGAUCUUUGGAGACCAACAGAUGAACUUUGUUUUGGAUGAAAAAAAUGAUACAGGAAAGUUUUGUUUUAUUCCUUGAAAAUUUCAAGGAUUCAGAGUUCAAAUGAGGAAGUGGAGGGUGGACCUGGGAGAUGUGAGGAGGAAGUAGGGAGUAAAUAUGAUCGAAAUACUUUGUUUGAAGUCCUCAAAAAGUCGCAUUUUAAAAAGAAAAUUUUUAUGCAUGUAUGUAGUGUAUUUUGAUCAUACUCCCUGGCCCCCAUACAUUCCUCUGUAGAGUGGUUUGAAAGCCAGGACCAAGAUCUAUCUUCAUUAACUCCCCUCACUGAGCUGUUCAUGUAUCACCUUUUGGGAGGCCCAGCCAAAAAUAUAUUGUGGAUGUAGUCUGAUUACAUUGGUCUUAAGGAGAAUUUUAUAGGAAAUAUGGGCCUAAAGUAGCUGCUAUUGGUUAGAUGCCUUUUGUUUUUUGUUUUGCUUUGUUUUUGUGGUUGUUGCUUUUCUUUGAACUGGCAAACCAUCAGUUCCACUUUUCUUUAAAAAAAACUUUUUCUGACCUUUUUAUCGACAUAUUUUUUUUCUGAAAAUUAAAAGACAAACCAGCAGCCUCAGCAUGUAUUAAUAUGACCUUUCUUGUAUUUCUAAUGUUUUUCUCUAGCUCUUAAACUUAAUUCCUGCAGGUUUUUGAUGCAGAGUAAAUGAAGAUCUAAGCUAAUUAUGCUGCACAGAUGAAUUUUGUAAGGAAAAAAAAUAAAAGCACACAUGUGAUGGUUA